rnacentral:rRNA from 1 species
UACAGAGGGGGCAAGCGUUGUUCGGAAUUACUGGGCGUAAAGGGCGCGUAGGCGGCCUUCUAAGUCGAACGUGAAAUCCCCGGGCUCAACCCGGGAACUGCGUCCGAGACUGAAAGGCUUGAAUCCGGGAGAGGGAUGUGGAAUUCCAGGUGUAGCGGUGAAAUGCGUAGAUAUCUGGAGGAACACCGGUGGCGAAGGCGGCAUCCUGGACCGGCAUUGACGCUGAGGCGCGAAAGCCAGGGGAGCAAACGGG